CAUAAAAUACGUGUCACAACCGUGCUACCGUGUAAGCCUGUUCCUAACCUCUACCUGCACACGUGGCCGCGAACAAAUAAAGGGAGAACUCGUUUAUUAUUCCGCGAACGAUGCGAAAAAUCACCUUUUUUCGCUUCCCUUGAAAUGUUUCCUUUCGGAUCGUUGGAAACUGCAUUUUCCAAUUUCGAGAGUGCUUUGUCACCUUUUUUUUUUUUUUCUUUUCAUCGCACCGCGAUGUCUUAAGUCUCAAGUCGGACGUCGAUGAAGAAUGCGAAAAGUUAUGAGUUGGAGAGUGAAAUUGAGAAGUUUCGAGGUGUUUUUCGAUUUAUAGUUUAUAGAGUUCAACACAUUGUGAGGAUGAGAGACGCGAAUCUAUGGUCUUCGAUUUCCAAACGUUCGGAACAGGACACGAGAAUCUAUGUCUUUUGUUUACCAACCGUUGGAGAGGGGAGACGUGAAUCUACGUCUUUAGUUUUAUUCCGUCGCGCGGUGUUUACUUUUCGAUUCUCUCCGGUGACGCCGAGGCACACGGUCGUGCGACGAACGUUCCUAAAGAAAAAUGGAGCAGAAAUAAAGAGAAAAGUAAAGGAGAUGGGGAAAGGGACAAAAGGCUGAUUUCCGGUGGAUCAACUCAAAGAGGGAGUCGGGCUCAAGAUCCUUGUAUCGACGUUCACGGAGUGAAGAAAAAUGCGACGACACUUAACGUUCGUUCCGACCAGCUCGAAUCUUAUUCUUCACCUUUCAUUUUCAGAUGAUGGCUGGAAAACCGAGUUGGAAGAAUGGGACAAAAAUGAGAAAGCAUCCUCAGGGCGACCUAUUUGAACGUCUCAGAUGGUUAUAAUUAUGCAUAUCACUGGAGCCCUAGAUUUUAGCUUCCCUUUGACACGAACUUUUGUUUUGAACACUGUUGUUCAACUUUGCCAUGGACUUCACAGGCAAUGUUAAGAACAAAGUUAUAGGUAACGAGAUUAAUGAGAACAGAGAUUUCAGGGCAGAAUUGUCUAUCUAUCCAUGACAUCAUCAAAGUGUUGACAUGAUAGAGAAACGCGUGAUAUCAUCAAAUAUAAUAUCUGUUCAACAAUUUUCAUGAUUCUCAAUGAUUCCUUUCAAUCGUUAUUUUACUAAUCUUUACUUUUUUCUUUUUCUUUAACUCUUCAUCAUCAAAUAACUGUACGCACGUAGAAAAUUUUCCAGCUAGAUCUACUAUUUGGAUCGUUUAUUAUUUGGUGUUUACCUGUUGUUUUAUUUGUAUAAUUUUAAGUUUUCCUUACUUCACGUGAAAUUAUCGCACUAAUGCAAUGAAACUUUAUUUUCCAGACUCAGUACGUUUCUACCUUGGCGGAUGAUAUAUUGAGUGUGUUAUUAAUAAUACAAUUCGCGAAAUAAACGUCAAUCUUUCAUGAUAAGUAAAUUCGGAAUUGAAGGAUGCUUCGUUGUACAAGCAAGCGUUCGUUUAUAUAACGAGAGGAUUGAAUUUUGUUAAGGAAACUUGGGGAGAACUCGAGGCGGGAUAUUAUUAUGAAUCUGCUACAUUCGCGAUAUCUCGUUCGUGAUAUUUAAAUUUGGAUAUUCGUGUUGCGUAAAUCGAAACGUGGAAUAAAAAUAAAAAAAUUAUUAUACCGAACUUAUGUCUCACCAUCGAGACUUUAAUAAAUACUUUUCUCCUCCAGAUGUUGAAACGUAGUUAUUGAAAUUAUAACGAACAAUUUAAAAUAGAAUUUCAUUGAAUACUAGAAUAAUCUUCGACGUAAAAUAUAAAUCGGAUUAAGAAAAAAGGAAAAAUACGUUAGAAAAUAUAAAUAAAAAUUCGACUAUUCCGAUAAACUGUCGCCGCUAAUUAACUUGAUAAACAUGCCAUCACGCCACAAACAUUCAUACACUCGGGGACAAUUAUUAUCUCGAACAAGAUCGUGCCCCGUGGGGGGAGGGGAGAGGAGGAGAGGGCCUCUAUUAGGCCUGAGGCAGUUUCAAACGAGAUUCCUCGCAGAGAAGCUUAACUAAAACUCGAUGCCACGACAAACCGGUGAGUCGAGUAGCGCGGCAUCGUUGCAGCUACGUGGCUUCAACUCGUUAAGGAUGACAGGCAGUUGUGUCGACGUAAAAUAAGGGGACCGAGGAACACGAUGGAGCAUAGUUCACGAGAACACCGACCAAUCUCCCCACGGGAUCGUUCCGCCAAGCUGCAGGAUCAUUGCACGAAAUGGAAAAUAACGAAGAUGAGCCGAGAAGAAAUCGAUGAGCAACGUCAACGGGGAAUAUCAACCAGCUUAUAAGACAAAACUUCAACAAAUCUCCUUAGAAAAUAAAUAAAAAGGUGAACAAAAAUCAACGUCGAUUAUUCUCACGCACAUCACCGCUUACACUUUUAUCCAUGCAUCCACGCGACGCAAUUUUCCCGCGCAUUCGAGAGGUUUGCAAAUACGAAGAACAAAGUAUGGAAGAAGAAAAAUUCUGGAACACGAUGCCGAGGACGAAAAGGGAGAGGAGAGCGAAGAUUAUAAGACGACGAGUCCGAAGAGAGGAACGAGAAAACGUACUUACGUAGGGGGAGGGCGUCUCAUUUAGACUCGGUGACUCGGUAAUACUGAACUGCAAAGUUUUUUCUCUCAAAGGGGAACCGAAAAGGAGCGCUCGUUUCGGUUGAAAUUUUUAUUCCGCAAAGUCGCAAGAGUCCGAAGAAACAAGAAACGCAUAUAAAAAGGGGAGGGAUGAAACGCAACAACGCUGAUUCUAUUCUCUCAAACGACGGGAACGUUUCUUCUUCAAGAAUGGAAAGAAGAUUUUUCAUCGUAUAACGAUAAAUAAUAAUAUUGUAAAACUUGUUUGAUUGUGAUUCUUAUUAUUUAACUUAUGAUUGGCCAUAUGUUUCUACUUGUCUGACUGUUUUAUUCUGCGUGUAUUCUAUUCUUGCAUCUCUAUCUUUUUAUCUUGUGUGAUGAAACUUCAAAGUAUCAUCAAUUUAUCUUCAAGAAAAAAAGUGGAUUGCUUUAAAAGAUACCUCUUAAUCCAAAUCAAGAAAAAGUGAACGUUUCAAAGGAAGGAACGUUGGACCUUUAAAGAAAAUAAAAUCAAGACAAGAAUAUAUCGAUUAUUUCAUAUUUUCUUUUGAAUAUUUUAAUAACAGGAAAACACGAAAAAAUCAAAAAUUACCUAGAGAACAUAUCAGGAUUUAAAAAAGAAAGCAGAUAAAGAAUUAAAAAAAUAGAAAAGAAUCGAAAACUUAACAAAGGAGAAAAAAGAAACGUCAAAAAAUAUAAAGAAGGAAAAAACUUCACAGAGGAAAGGAAAAGAAAAGAAGAAGUCAAGAAGAACAAAAAAAAAGGAUAAGAAAGGAAUCGCGGACAAUAAAAGAUCGAGAAGGAAAAAUAAACAAGAUGAGAUUAAUCGAGAAUGAAGAAAAAUGAGGAAAACGGAAAGGAAAUGAUAGAAAAGGAACCGAGAGAAAUAGGGGAAAAAAGUCACAGAUGUAACAGAAAUCGAAAAUUAGAAGGAAAGAUUGAUCGAGAAAAGAAAAGGAGAAAUUGAUUAGAAAUAGAGAACGAUAAAUAAAAGAUAAAGACAAAAGCAAAGCGGGGGAGGAGGGAUACAAGAAUCCUCCGGCAAGGUUAAAUACUUAGAUAUACGUGUACACGUGUGUAUCAUGUAACACACAUCUACGGCAUAUAUCCUCGCUAUUGUAUCACUCCAUUAAACAUUCGCUGCAGUGCACUAUAAACUAUGAUAUAAUCUCACAAUGCGGUAAACACUUGCGAGUUAAACGAACACGGGCUAUCCGUGGCACCACGACACGCGAAAAGGAUGCAGAAAUCGUGGCCCAAAACGGAUAAACCGACUGCGAAAAGUAAUUCAAGCCUUCCCCCCGUUAUUUAUUAUGAACCGCACUUGAAAGCAAUUAGCUCGCUACGAUGUCUCUUGCUUUUUUCUCCUCGUGGUAUUUUUAUCCAACUGCUUUGGAUUAAAAUUCAAUUGAGAGCAAUAAAGGGGAAAUGCGUGGUGUUAAUCUCAAUUAGCUAGAAUGUGACGAUGUUGUUUACUCUAAAGAGCAAAUUUCCUCGUUUGGAAAUGGAAUUAAAAUUUUCUAUGAUAUGAAAUAUAGGGGAAAAAAAAUAAUAAUAAUAAUCGUGAAUGAUGUUCCCGUUUAUUUUAUUUCGUAAUCUUUGUUAUCUUUCUUCUUUUGAUAUUUCGUUUUAACAUAGAAGAUAAAUGAAAUUAUCUGGAAACAUAUCGUUCAAAACUGUGAAUUCAUUUAAUCGUACGCGUGAAUAUUAAGAUAGAUUCUUUGUAAGAAAAGGGACAAACAGGAAAAGAUUCGUAAAUUAUCAUUAAAUUACCAAGAAAUUCUUCCAAUUAUACUUUUAUUUAUCCUUUAUAUAAAUUACAUAAAUUAAUAUCUAUACUGUGUAUAUAACUCUAUAUAUAUCCAUACAACUAAUUUUCCAUUGAAUUCUAUUUUUAAAAAAUAUUUAAAACAUCUGUUUCGUUGAAUGAAAGAUGCGCCAAUUUCAGAGAAAGCUGAAGGAAAGAUCCGACAUGCUACUUUAUCCGUCCGGCGCGAUCUUAAAUAGUUUGAAAUUUAUAGUUCCAUCUCGUAACAUGCAUUUCCUCACGAACUAGAGGAUUCUACAAAAUUUACAAGGGAAGUUGCCGCAUUUGCUAUAAAAUAUUUAAUUAGUUAUCUUAAUGAUUCGCCAGCUUCCUCUUAUUUCGGGUUGGCAAACUUUAAUAGGGCAUUGCACAGAGAAAUUUCUAUACGUAUGCAGAAUUUUGCUUCGUCCAAUUCAACCAUCCGUUUAAUAAGCCGUGAACCCGCAAUCAUAAAUCGUGAUUAAUUAAUUUUUAAUUGUGCGCGAAUCUCGAAAGAAAAUAUUUUUCUUAGAAAAGUGAACGUUCGACGGAAUUUACAUUAUAAAAAUAUAACGGUAUAUUUUAUGGAAUAUAUUUUUACCUGCAGCGUGACUAUGGAAAAAAAAGUUUAUAUAAAACUGGCGCUAUUCAAUCUAUAUUGGCAGCCAUGGCAAUGCCGAAGGCAAAGCUACGGGCAAUGAAACUAGCGCAGUAGAGAUUUCAGAUUCCUGAACAAUAGAGUUCAGAAGGCAAAGAUAACGAAAUGGAGGUUUAAGACUAGAGCAGCUGCUUUGUUUAGAAGGCAGAAUUAUAGAGUCUGGAAAUUAGUGGAGUUUGAGAUUUUAGUUUUAAAGCAAUGCUGUUCAAAAAAAAACCAUUAAGAGCCAAUGAGAUUUUAGUUAAGGACAAUUGCUAUUGAGAAAGCAAAGCUUCGAAACUGGCUGAGUGAGAAGUUGAAAGUUUAAUUUAGGGUAGAUUGUUCAGGGCACGAAGAUACAGGCAAUGAAACUAACUAGCGGAGGUAUGAGGCUUUAUUUUAAGGAAAUACGUUGUUUUAGAAGAUAAAGAUAUAGGCAAUAAAAUGAAGAUUUUAGAGCAAUUAAAAAUUAUCAAAUAGUGAAAUUAAUGGAAAAUUUGAGAUUUUACUUUGGUGAAAUGCUGUUUAAAAAGCAGAGAGAAAGAAAGAAAGAGUUUAAAACUUUAAUCCAAAAUUCAGAAAACAAAGAUACAAUGAAAUAGAUAAAUUAGUAAAAUUCUAGAUUUCAAACUUUACAACUACUAUACUUUACAACUACUAUUCAGAGAACAAAACAAAGUUAUGGAAAUUUGAAAGACUUCACCCUCUUUUAGGUCUGUAACAUUAAAAAUUGCCAUUUAUCCAUUGCCAUUUAUCUCUUCCUGCUUUCACAAGUAAUCGUUGCACAACACCAAUUUCUGGAUCAUCUCGUGCAGUUAUCCAAUUUUGUAUUAUGAAUGGAACAGUCGAUAUCCACGUUCAACAAUACAAGAUAUACACUUGUCGUGAAUUGCGGAUAAGAAAUGCGGUUAUUCCGAAUCAGAAUACGAAUAGGAUUCGAUGAUAACAUUCACGCCUGCUCAUCGAAGCUGGAAGUAAUCACUUGGAGCAAUUUUUUCGAAUGUGUAUAAACAGCUGUUACAAUAUGGAAAGAGAAGGUUCUGGUAAGAGAAAAAUAGGUCAUAUAGGGAAUACGAACUUUUUUAUACAUCUUUCGGUAUGCUGAAUCCAUCCCUGCUAUUCUUUCACAUUCAACACCCGUGAAAUAUGAAAAUAUGAAAUUUUAUCGCGGCAUUUCAUGUAUAUGAAAUUUUAUCAUGGAUGAUAACAUGUAAAAAUAAUUUAUCGUUUCAAAUAAUUUAAUCCCCUGAAACGAUCCGUGAAAUGUUUCAAACGUGAUCGCGCACAAUAUUUAUAUCGAUUUCAAUUAGAGAUUCCAAUUUUUUUUAUAUACACAUCGUGUAUAAUGAACGAAAUUAUUGUUCCUCUUUUAUGCGAAGCUAAAAAACUCUCUUUACAAAAAACUUGAAGCGUUCCCAGAAAUAAUACAAUAAUUUCCCGAUAAUCCGUUUUGCCCGUGACAUUUGAAUUUUCAAAGCAGUUAAAGUAUAUUAUUUACCCCCUAGGCACCUAUUGACGGUUUAUCUAAAAUUUUUCAGACGUUUUGUAACAAAUUGCUCGAAAUGAAUCGCUGUUUGUAAAUUUUCAAAAGAGUUAAAAAAAAAAAAAAAAAGGAAAAGUGAGAAAAACUCGCGUGCAAUAAAAAAAAAAGAGGGAGGAAAAAGAGAGGAAUCAUCUCGUUUCAAUUAAAAUAAAUUCGCCAGAAACGCGAUUUGAAAAUGGUUUUAAACGCUUGUUGAUACGUAUAUACACGUGUAUCUAUGAUAGUUAAGCCGAUUUUGUGAUGGAGUCAAAGCACUAUAGCCGAUUGCGUGAAAAAAACGUGGGAAUAAAUAUGAUUUAAUGAUUCGAGAAAAUAUUCGAGUUGUUCGAAGAUUAAUAGUCAAGGAUGAGCUUGAAUAUAAUGUGAAAUAAUAUCGAUGCGUAUCGUCUGAAAGCUUCGACCAUUUGAUUUUUAGUUCACUUAGACGAUAAAAUUAUAAAAAUUGUAAUUUCGUAUUAUAAUUAAUGAUUUAUCUUACGUUCUUAUUUUAUACAAAUUAAAAGAAUAUUCCUAUUCUUUGAAGAUAUUGCCUUCCUCUUAUACUCAUCUUUCUUUAAUCACUCUUGCCUGUAUAUCCCUUUUAUUCGAUCGUCAAUUUCUUUAAUCCUCGAUCUUUCUAACAUUUUUCUUUUAACCAACUAAUUAAUAAAAAGGAAAUCUCGAAAAGACAUCCGGUGAUGAUGCAUCGCGUCUUUCUAAAGGAGGAGACGCGCUGUUGAAACCGAGUCUUUUCAACAAAAUGGUACUUUAAUUUCGAACGAUCUUCAUUAAUUCGAACAACGCAUCCGUUUAUUUCCUCUCCUCUCCUUCCCCUUGUUUCUCUCACCCAUUUCUCUCGAUUCACCGUAUAAUCCCUUUGCAUAAUCCCUUUCUCAUUGUCACCCCUUUGCUGGCGUUAUUUUUUACUCUCGGUCACUGACACCCUCCCUCCACGAUCGCGCCUACUUACGCUCAUUAACGCUGAGAAAUUCAAUCAACUCUACUUUAUAAUAUAAUCGAUGCCGGCCGCGACAGUUAUUUAUAUACACUUAUUUACCCGCGUGGUUUUAAAUCAUCUAUAAUGUACAUCGGAAACUCGAAGAAACUUUAACGAUGGAAAAACAAGUAACGAUAGUUUGCGCCAGGUAAUAUUAUAGUGUUAUAAACGAAGUUGUUGGAAAAAGGGAAGUCAAAGAUCGUCACCAUCGUUUCCUUUCACUUUCUUUUAUUUUUAUUCAACUUCAAAUUCUUCCUAUAUCGAUAUAUUGAUGUACAACCUGAUGCAUUUGAGCAACCGUGUUUAACAUGAUCCAAUAAUUAACAUUUCAUAUUUGACGAACUUCAAAUAAUGUGAUUAAACGUUUGAUAUUAAUAAUUCUUAUACAAUUUUAAGCUCGAAUUUUGAUCAAUUAAUAUGAUAAUAACGGAUGAUUCUUUUUUAAAACUCCUUCCAUUUACAGAUAAUCGAAAUUUUUUCUCACUCACGAAGAAGGAAGGUAAUUUUAGACAAUUAUGCAAAUUCGAAAAAAUCCUUUCGCGAAUCCCUAAUUAUUUUAAUUCCAACGAAUUCUUAUAUACCCUUUGCGAAAUAAUCGGCCAAUCUAACGAAGAUGGAACAUCCCCCUUCGCAAUAAGAGGAGGGAGAGACGAGUGAUUAAUUAAGGUUUGCGGAUAAGAUCGGAACGACACGCGAUUGUGCCCAAGAACGGCGGCUGUAACACUGAUUGGAAUUUAGUGUAGACCUAGAAGAGGAGGCUGGUAACGCUCCCGUUUCUCCAAUUAAGCUUGGCCGGAUGUAAAUCAGACUGGGAUAAAUUCCGUAUAACCUUGUCGGCGGGAUUCGCGGAAGGGAACAGCCGUGAAUUCGUUCCACGGGGAAAAUUGUUAACCCCGUGGAAAGAUCGUCGAGAACUUGAGAUAACAAGCAAGGAAAGUUUUCGCGAAACUUUCCUUUUCCUAUAAAUUCGCGCCCGAUCGUGAGCCUUUUCAAAGAGGGAUGAGGGAAUAGUUCGCGAAAAGAAUUAAGCGGAUGACGAAAAACUGAUAAACACGGUCGAAUCCGCCAACAUUUUAUUCGAGGAAGAUAUUAAAAGCGAGAUAACGAGGGAACGUUUAAGCGUUGAUGAAGAUAGAAUUAAAUGUUUGAUAUUAGAUUAAGAUCGUUGACAAAUUUUUAUUUGGAUUCUCGGAGGGGGACAGACUGUUUCAAUAAUCUAUUUCUCUAAGUAAAAGUUUAAAUUAGAAAAAAGGGUUGCUUUACGUGGCGAAAAAGAAAGAACGGUGUGAAUACGAAAUUAUUUGCAAAGAUGAAAACGCUCGAAUUCACAGCGAGGUGAAAUCAAGUAGUUAACCUGAAUCGGAUGGAAAUAAAUUGGAUAGGAAUUUUCGUGUUACACGAGGUGAAAAAUCGAUGGCGAGAAUCAUUUUCCCAGAUCAAAAUGUUUAAAUCAAAUAUUAAAAUGCUAAAGUAGAAGAUAGAGGUUAUAAGUUAGGUUGACAUUUAUAACACGUAUAUAAAGUGGCACGAUAAGCUCCAACUUGGAGAACCACGGAGUGGAAUGAUUUAAAGGGAAUGGUCGAUCACUUUGAAGAAAAGAAACGUGCAAUAAUUGUAAAUCAAUUUGUACGUUAAUGAAAAAAUAAUUUAAGAAAAUAACAAAUAACAAAAUAACUUCGAUCAAUCUUUUGUCUUAAUCGUAUCUUUGAAAUGAUAAAUUGGUGUUUUAGCUCCUACUUCGUGCAGAUUCUUUUCUCUCAUUGUUAGAAACUAGUUUAAGAAACAUCGUGCACACUCGUUCUCUUUUCAAAGCUCUUGUUCUUUUUUUGGAGGAGAUUCAUUGAUAUGAAUAUUUAUUUCAAUGAAAUUCUUGUAAAAAUAUUUUCAGAAUAAUAUUAGUUUAUUUUUUCAGCAAUAUUUAUUCACCAUUAAAACAAUGAACUCGAAAUAAAAUAAACGGAUUGCAUUGAACUUACAAACAAUGUUUGUGUAAUAUUUUUUAUUUUUAUAAUAGAUUCUACUAUAGUUUUGUUUUCACAAAUUCUUAUAGAAAUAUGAAACUAUCAUUUCCUCCCUUUUCUAUUUCCAAAUCGAUCUUCUAAAAAAUCAUGAUAUUCUCAUUUUAAACAAAACUCAACGAGUAAUACAAACUUAACUUCGUGACAGCAUCAAACCAUCACAUCAAUUACAAGCUACUAUAUAAACAUGUAUGUAAACAAUUUCUCGAUCGUCUUAUUUUACAAGUAAUUAUUAUACAAGAAUAAUAAAAUGACAAAAGAAAAUUCUUAAUUGUAUAUAACACGUAUAUAAAAAUAUUUAACGGAUCGAUGGAUUUAUUAUUUUACCGAUAUACAUAUUAUUCGACAUGAAGAUUUGAAAAUAAAGCUAUAACAAAACGAUGAAUACCCAAAAUACACAAGGAAACGGAAUAUCCUCCGCAAAC